rnacentral:rRNA from 1 species
CCUACGGGUGGCAGCAGUGAGGAAUAUUGGUCAAUGGCCGGAAGCCUGAACCAGCCAAGCCGCGUGAGGGAGGAAGGUGCAGAGCGUCGUAGACCUCUUUUGCCGGGGGACAAAAGGCCGGACUCGUCCCGUCCUGAGGGUACCCGGAGAAAAAGCAUCGGCUAACUCCGUGCCAGCAGCCGCGGUAAUACGGAGGAUGCGAGCGUUAUCCGGAUUCAUUGGGUUUAAAGGGUGCGCAGGCGGGCCGUUAAGCCGGCGGUGAAAUCGCGGGGCUCAACCCCGCCGAGCCGUCGAAACUGGGGGGCUAGAGUGGGGGAGAGGCAUGCGGAAUGCGCGGUGUAGCGGUGAAAUGCAUAGAUAUCGCGCAGAACCCCGAUUGCGAAGGCAGCGUGCCGUGGCGCAACUGACGCUGAGGCACGAAAGCGUGGGGAUCGAACAGGAUUAGAUACCCGGGUAGUC